UGAGUACGAGCUGCUACGGCAGCGAAGUGGGUGAUGUCAAGCUUCCAAGAAAAGCCCUAUACCCGUUAAGGCAUGAUGGCCUGUACCCGAAACCGACACAGGUGGGGUGGUAGAGAAUACCGAGGGGCGCGAGAUAACUCUCUCUAAGGAACUCGGCAAAAUGGCCCCGUAACUUCGGGAGAAGGGGUGCCACCGCAAGGUGGUCGCAGUGAAGAGGCCCAGGCGACUGUUUACCAAAAACACAGGUCUCCGCUAAGUCGCAAGACGAUGUAUGGGGGCUGACGCCUGCCCAGUGCCGGAAGGUUAAGGAAGCUGGUCAGCGUAAGCGAAGCUAGCGACUGAAGCCCCGGUGAACGGCGGCCGUAACAAUAACGGUCCUAAGGUAGCGAAAUUCCUUGUCGGGUAAGUUCCGACCCGCACGAAAGGCGUAACGAUCUGGGCGCUGUCUCGGAGAGAGGCUCGGCGAAAUAGAAUUGUCUGUGAAGAUGCGGACUACGUGCACCCGGACAGAAAGACCCUAUGAAGCUUUACUGUAGCUUGGUAUUGUGCUCGGGCUCGGAAUGCGCAGGAUAGGUGGGAGGCUAUGAACCAUUGCUUGUGGGUGAUGGUGAGCCACUGGUGAGAUACCACUCUUUCCGAGCUAGAGUUCUAACAGCCACCCGUUAUCCGGGGGCUGGACAGUAUCAGGUGGGCAGUUUGACUGGGGCGGUCGCCUCCUAAAAGGUAACGGAGGCGCGCAAAGGUUUGCUCAGGCUGGUUGGAAAUCAGCCGACGAGUGUAAAAGCAGAAGCAAGCUUGACUGUGAGACCUACAAGUCGAACAGGGAGGAAACUCGGCUUUAGUGAUCCGACGGUUCUGCGUGGAAGGGCCGUCGCUCAACGGAUAAAAGUUACUCUAGGAUAACAGGCUGAUCUCCCCCAAGAGUUCACAUCGACGGGGAGGUUUGGCACCUCGAUGUCGGCUCAUCGCAACCUGGGGCUGAAGUCGGUCCCAAGGGUUGGGCUGUUCGCCCAUUAAAGCGGUACGCGAGCUGGGUUCAGAACGUCGUGAGACAGUUCGGUCCAUAUCCGGUGCAUGCGCAGGGAUAUUGAGAGGAUUUCUCCCUAGUACGAGAGGACCGGGAGGAACGCACCUCUGGUGUACCAGUUAUCGUGCCAACGGUAAACGCUGGGUAGCCAUGUGCGGAGAGGAUAACCGCUGAAAGCAUCUAAGUGGGAAGCCCACCUCAAGAUGAGUAUUCCCAUGGGGUAACCCAGUAAGGUCACGGGAAGAACACCCGUUGAUAGGCUCUACGUGGAAGCGCAGUAAUGUGUGAAGCGGAGGAGUACUAAUAGACCGAGGGCUUGACC
rnacentral:rRNA from 1 species